rnacentral:rRNA from 1 species
UACGAAGGGUGCAAGCGUUGCUCGGAAUUAUUGGGCGUAAAGCGCACGUAGGCGGCUAUCUAAGUCGGAUGUGAAAUCCCUCGGCUUAACCAAGGAAGUGCACCCGAAACUGGAUAGCUUGAGUACAGAAGAGGAUCGCGGAAUUCCCGGUGUAGAGGUGAAAUUCGUAGAUAUCGGGAGGAACACCAGUGGCGAAGGCGGCGAUCUGGGCUGAUACUGACGCUGAGGUGCGAAAGCGUGGGGAGCAAACAGG